rnacentral:rRNA from 1 species
AAUGAACGCUGGCGGCGCGCCUAAUACAUGCAAGUCGAGCGAGAAGACGUAGCAAUACGUUUGUAAAGCGGCGAACGGGUGAGGAAUACAUGGGUAACCUACCCUCGAGUGGGGAAUAACUAGCCGAAAGGUUAGCUAAUACCGCGUACGCUUCUUGGACUUCGGUUCAGGGAGGAAAGCGAUACCGUGGGUAUCGCGCUCUUGGAUGGGCUCAUGUCCUAUCAGCUUGUUGGNGAGGUAACGGCUCACCAAGGCUUUGACGGGUAGCUGGUCUGAGAGGACGAUCAGCCACACUGGCACUGCGACACGGGCCAGACUCCUACGGGAGGCAGCAGUAAGGAAUAUUGCGCAAUGGGCGAAAGCCUGACGCAGCGACGCCGCGUGGGGGAUGAAGGUCUUCGGAUUGU